rnacentral:rRNA from 1 species
AUUGAACGCUGGCGGCAUGCUUUACACAUGCAAGUCGAACGGUAACAGGCCGCAAGGUGCUGAAGAGUGGCGAACGGGUGAGUAAUGCAUCGGAACGUGCCCAGUCGUGGGGGAUAACGCAGCGAAAGCUGUACUAAUACCGCAUACGAUCUAUGGAGGAAAGCGGGGGACCGUAAGGCCUCGUGCUAUUUGAGCGGCCGAUGUCAGAUUAGGUAGUUGGUGGGGUAAAGGCUCACCAAGCCAACGAUCUGUAGCUGGUCUGAGAGGACGACCAGCCACACUGGGACUGAGACACGGCCCAGACUCCUACGGGAGGCAGCAGUGGGGAAUUUUGGACAAUGGGCGCAAGCCUGAUCCAGCAAUGCCGCGUGCAGGAAGAAGGCCUUCGGGUUGUAAACUGCUUUUGUACGGAACGAAACGGCGAGCUCUAAUACAGUUUGCUAAUGACGGUACCGUAAGAAUAAGCACCGGCUAACUACGUGCCAGCAGCCGCAGUAA